rnacentral:rRNA from 1 species
CACGUAGGGGGCGAGCGUUGUCCGGAUUUAUUGGGCGUAAAGAGCUCGUAGGCGGUUCGAUAAGUCGGGUGUGAAAACUCUGGGCUCAACUCAGAGACGCCACCCGAUACUGUUGUGACUUGAGUCCGGUAGGGGAGUAUGGAAUUCCCGGUGUAGCGGUGGAAUGCGUAGAGAUCGGGAAGAACAUCAGUGGCGAAGGCGGCCUGCUGGGCUGUUGCUGACGCUGAGGCGCGACAGCGUGGGGAGCAAACAGG